UGUAAAACACUGGGUCCUAAACUAGAAGGUUGAGGGGAAAUGGCUGUUCCCAGCGUUGGGAAAGCUCCUGGCCAUCCUUUAAUGCACAGCAUGAAGCUGUAUCUUGGGUGCCUGCAGGGAACCUCUCAAGGCUGCCGUUGUCGGUGCUCUGGGAAGGCUGCCUCUUGCUCUGUGCACUGACCUUGAGGAGGUUGGGGAGCGGCCUUGAGGAUCUGCCUGUACCUAAAGGACAUCUUUCCACAGCCUGUCUGUGCCGUGUCCCAGCGAGUGGAUGUCCUCAGUGAUCAGGGUGGGCUCACCUUUGGAGUUAAGCCUACCUAGAGUGCUGCUUACUGAUCUGAGCUCUCCUCCUGGCUUAAGGAACAUAUAAGCUGAAAUCCACCAAAGAGGAGCAUCUCUGCACGCAAAGAAUGCUGGACCAGACCCUGCUAGACCUGAACGAGAUGUAAUGGAUCCCCACCACUGCCUCUGCCACGCCAUGCCCGCGCUGGCCCAGCCGCUGCUGGCCUCUAACCCUUGGGACCACAGUUUGCUUCCUGUUGCUAACUUGACCGAACGCAGCUCUUCUCCCUUGCCUCGGGGUUAAAGGCCAUCAUCAGGUUGGGCAGAGCCUCAAACAACAUUAUUAAGGGAAACGAGCAAUGCAAUAAUGUUUGGGAGCAUGUUUUGAGAUGUACCCGUUUUGUAAGUACCUUUUCUUUUUUGUAGUAACCAGUGUGAACAUUCCAAGUAACCAGUGAGGCUGCUGAGCUGCACUCAAAGCUCUUGGCUUUACAAUUGGGUAUUAACCUUCUGUUAACCAGCUCUGGGUCAUCCUGCCUUGGCUGGGGAGGGAGUGGGGGGCGGCUCGUGGUUCCGACUGUGGGCCACCUGAUGGGAGCAGCUGGGAUAGUGAUGUGAGCCCAUUGGGAAAAAUCCCUUUCCAGGAGCCUGUUUGCCAAAAGAGCAGUUCAGUUUCUCAGCUUUAAGGUAACUUGUGGAGAAGCAACCUGGGUAGAAGGAGACUUCUAAAACCAGGCAGUUCCCUGCCCAGUUGAACCUUCACAGGGGUUGUUUCUCUUCUCUUCCCCCUCACUGUUAGCCACUUCUUUUCCCCUUGAAGAAGCCACGGCCCCUCUAACCCAUUGCUACACAGGAGCUGAAUUUGCCUUCACUGAGUGCUGACCCACCAAGCUUUAGCACUCAGUGCUGGCUUACACUCAACAGCUUAAGUACAACAGCCUUGUUCGCUUGGGGAAACUGUUUUUGCCUACCCCAAGGGAAGGGAUCGAGGCCUUCUCCCCUGGCCAGGAGUGCUCUUAGUGUCUUAAUAAGGUACAAGCCACCUUGCUGUGCAUUGCUGAUGUGUCGCUGUGAGGUGUGAGUGUGGAGACGUGUCAGGCUCACAGUGUGUAGCUUCUUGUGUGAGCAUGCUGCCUGGUUGUAGCCGGUUUAGGGGCCAAGCCGGAGCAAAGAACCUUAUCAAGUGUUUUGAUACUAAAUGGAACAAUUGUCUUACUGUCUUUUGAAAUAAACCCCCUCCCUCCA